rnacentral:rRNA from 1 species
AACGUAGGAGACAAACGUUAUCCGGAGUUACUGGCGUAAAGGGCGUGUAGGCGGUUUGUUAAGUUUGGCGUGAAAGCUCUCGGCUAAACCGGGAGAGGUCGUUGGAUACUGGCAAACUAGAGGACGGUAGAGGCGUGUGGAAUUCCGGGUGUAGUGGUGAAAUGCGUAGAGAUCGGAGGAACACCAGUGGCGAAGGCGAACACGCUGGGCCGUACCGUGACGCUAAAGCGCGACAGCAUGGGGAGCAAACGGGG